AGUGAACGCUGGCGGUAGGCCUAACACAUGCAAGUCGAACGGCAGCACAGUAAGAGCUUGCUCUUACGGGUGGCGAGUGGCGUACGGGUGAGGAAUACAUCGGAAUCUACUUUUUCGUGGGGGAUAACGUAGGGAAACUUACGCUAAUACCGCAUACGACAUACGGGUGAAAGCAGGGGAUCUUCGGACCUUGCGCGAUUGAAUGAGCCGAUGUCGGAUUAGCUAGUUGGCGGGGUAAAGGCCCACCAAGGCGACGAUCCGUAGCUGGUCUGAGAGGAUGAUCAGCCACACUGGAACUGAGACACGGUCCAGACUCCUACGGGAGGCAGCAGUGGGGAAUAUUGGACAAUGGGCGCAAGCCUGCUCCAGCCAUACCGCGUGGGUGAAGAAGUCCUUCGGGUUUUAAAGCCCUUUUGUUGGGAAAGAAAAGCAGCAGGUUAAUACCCCGCUGUUCUGACGGUACCCAAAGAAUAAGCACCGGCUAACUUCGUG
rnacentral:rRNA from 1 species